GACGAACGCUGGCGGCGUGCUUAACACAUGCAAGUCGAACGAGUGGCGAACGGGUGCGUAAUACGUGAGUAACCUGCCCUCUUUUUGGGUUAAGCCUGGGUAACGGGGUCUAAUACCGGAUAAAGGGUGAUGGGCUCGCGGCCUAUCAGCUUGUUGGUGGGGUGAUGGCUUACCAAGGCGGUGACGGGUAGCCGGCAUGAGAGGGUAAACGGGCACAGUGAGACUGUGAUGCGGCCCAGACGCGUACGGGGGGCAGCAGAGUGGGAUAUUGCAGAAUGGGUGAAAGACUGAUGCAGCGACGCCGCGGGGGGGAUGAAGGCUUUCGGGUUGUAAACCUCUGUCGCUAUCGAAUGGGUAGGUGGAGAAGAAGCGCCGGCUAACUCCGUGCCAGCAGCCGCGGUAAUAC
rnacentral:rRNA from 1 species